rnacentral:rRNA from 1 species
AUCGGCCACAUUGGGACUGAGACACGGCCCAAACUCCUACGGGAGGCAGCAGUAGGAAUCUUCGGCAAUGGACGAAAGUCUGACCGAGCAACGCCGCGUGAGUGAAGAAGGUUUUCGGAUCGUAAAACUCUGUUGUUAGAGAAGAACGUUGCAUAGAGUGGAAAAUUAUGCAAGUGACGGUAUCUAACCAGAAAGGGACGGCUAACUACGUGCCAGCAGCCGCGGUAAUACGUAGGUCCCGAGCGUUGUCCGGAUUUAUUGGGCGUAAAGCGAGCGCAGGUGGUUUAAUAAGUCUGAUGUAAAAGGCAGUGGCUCAACCAUUGUGUGCAUUGGAAACUGUUAGACUUGAGUGCAGUAGAGGAGAGUGGAAUUCCAUGUGUAGCGGUGAAAUGCGUAGAUAUAUGGAGGAACACCGGUGGCGAAAGCGGCUCUCUGGACUGUCACUGACACUGAGGCUCGAAAGCGUGGGUAGCAAACAGGAUUAGAUACCCUGGUAGUCCACGCCGUAAACGAUGAGUGCUAGUUGUUUGGGGCUAUCCAGCCCUAAGUGACGCAGCAAACGCAUUAAGCACUCCGCCUGGGGAGUACGACCGCAAGGUUGAAACUCAAAGGAAUUGACGGGGGCCCGCACAAGCGGUGGAGCAUGUGGUUUAAUUCGAAGCAACGCGAAGAACCUUACCAGGUCUUGACAUACUCGUGCUAUUCCUAGAGAUAGGAAGUUCCUUCGGGACACGGGAUACAGGUGGUGCAUGGUUGUCGUCAGCUCGUGUCGUGAGAUGUUGGGUUAAGUCCCGCAACGAGCGCAACCCCUAUUGUUAGUUGCCAUCAUUAAGUUGGGCACUCUAGCGAGACUGCCGGUAAUAAACCGGAGGAAGGUGGGGAUGACGUCAAAUCAUCAUGCCCCUUAUGACCUGGGCUACACACGUGCUACAAUGGUUGGUACAACGAGUCGCAAGGCAGUGAUGUCAAGCUAAUCUCUUAAAGCCAAUCUCAGUUCGGAUUGUAGGCUGCAACUCGCCUACAUGAAGUCGGAAUCGCUAGUAAUCGCGGAUCAGCACGCCGCGGUGAAUACGUUCCCGGGCCUUGUACACACCGCCCGUCACACCACGAGAGUUUGUAAUACCCAAAGCCGGUGAGCUAACCUUUUAGGAGGCAGCCGUCUAAG